CAGUAGCCGCGGUAAUACGUAGGUCCCGAGCGUUGUCCGGAUUUAUUGGGCGUAAAGGGAGCGCAGGCGGUUUAGUAAGUCUGAAGUUAAAGGCAUUGGCUCAACCAAUGUAUGCUUUGGAAACUGUUAGACUUGAGUGCAGAAGGGGAGAGUGGAAUUCCAUGUGUAGCGGUGAAAUGCGUAGAUAUAUGGAGGAACACCGGUGGCGAAAGCGGCUCUCUGGUCCGUCACUGACGCUGAGGCUCGAAAGCGUGGGUAGCGAACAGGAUUAGAUACCCGGGUAGUCCCUGUCUCUUAUACA
rnacentral:rRNA from 1 species